rnacentral:ncRNA from 2 species
AGAGUUAAAAAGUACGUGAAAUUGUUAAAAGGGAAACGCUUGAAAGCCAGUGACUUUUGAUAAUGGCCUGGGGAAUCAGCAGGGCUUCUGCACUGUGCAAUUCCCCGUGGGCAGGUCAGCGUCAGUUUCGGUUGUCGGACAAGACCCAUGGGAAUGUGACUUCCUCCUCGGAAGUGUUAUAGACCAGGGAGAUACGGCGACUGGGACUGAGGUCUGCAGCCAACUCCUUUCGAGGGGCUGGGGAACGCGUCGCUGGCGUUGGAUCCGUGUUAGACAGCUUGCUGACUGACUCGAGAUCCCAACACCAAUCGGCGUGCUUACCACACGUUUGGCUUAGGUCGCUGACUUAAUGGUCUUAAAUGACC